AUACGUAGGUGACAAGCGUUAUCCGGAUUUACUGGGCGUAAAGGGCGUGUAGGCGGUCUUGCAAGUCAGAAGUGAAAUUCCUGAGCUCAACUCGGGCGCUGCUUCUGAAACUGCAGGACUUGAGUGCUGGAGGGGAUAGCGGAAUUCCUAGUGGAGCGGUAAAAUGCGCAGAUAUUAGGAAGAACACCGGUGGCGAAGGCGGCUAUCUGGACAGUAACUGACGCUGAGGCGCGAAAGCGUGGGGAGCAAACAGGAUGAGAUACCCUGAUAGUCCACGCUGUAAACGAUGAAUACUAGGUGUAGGGGGUAUCGACUCCCUCUGUGCCGCAGUUAACACAAUAAGUAUUCCGCCUGGGGAGUACGGCCGCAAGGUUGAAACUUAAAUGAAUUGACGGGG
rnacentral:rRNA from 1 species